CUGGCGGCAGGCCUAACACAUGCAAGUCGAGCGCACUCUUCGGAGUGAGCGGCGGACGGGUUAGUAACGCGUGGGAACAUACCCUUUUCUACGGAAUAGCCUCGGGAAACUGAGAGUAAUACCGUAUACGCCCUUUUGGGGAAAGAUUUAUCGGUGAAGGAUUGGCCCGCGUUUGAUUAGAUAGUUGGUGGGGUAAUGGCCUACCAAGUCUACGAUCAAUAGCUGGUUUGAGAGGAUGAUCAGCAACACUGGGACUGAGACACGGCCCAGACUCCUACGGGAGGCAGCAGUGGGGAAUCUUAGACAAUGGGCGCAAGCCUGAUCUAGCCAUGCCGCGUGAGUGACGAAGGCCUUAGGGUCGUAAAGCUCUUUCGCCAGGGAUGAUAAUGACAGUACCUGGUAAAGAAACCCCGGCUAACUCCGUGCCAGCAGCCGCGGUAAUACGGAGGGGGUUAGCGUUGUUCGGAAUUACUGGGCGUAAAGCGUACGUAGGCGGAUUGGAAAGUAUGGGGUGAAAUCCCAGGGCUCAACCCUGGAACUGCCCUGUAAACUAUCAGUCUAGAGUUCGAGAGAGGUGAGUGGAAUUCCAAGUGUAGAGGUGAAAUUCGUAGAUAUUUGGAGGAACACCAGUGGCGAAGGCGGCUCACUGGCUCGAUACUGACGCUGAGGUACGAAAGUGUGGGGAGCAAACAGGAUUAGAUUCCCUGGUAGUCC
rnacentral:rRNA from 1 species